AACGAACGCUGGCGGCAUGCCUAACACAUGCAAGUCGAACGAGACCUUCGGGUCUAGUGGCGCACGGGUGCGUAACGCGUGGGAACCUGCCCUUAGGUUCGGAAUAACUCCCCGAAAGGGGUGCUAAUACCGGAUAAUGUCUUCGGACCAAAGAUUUAUCGCCUUUGGAUGGGCCCGCGUUGGAUUAGCUAGUUGGUAGGGUAAAAGCCUACCAAGGCGACGAUCCAUAGCUGGUCUGAGAGGAUGAUCAGCCACACUGGGACUGAGACACGGCCCAGAAUCUUACGGGAGGCAGCAGUGGGGAAUAUUGGACAAUGGGCGAAAGCAUGAUCCAGCAAUGACGCGUGAGUGAUGAAGGCCUUAGGGUUGUAAAGCUCGUUUACCCGGGAUGAUAAUGACAGUACCGGGAGAAUAAGCUCCGGCUAACUCCGUG
rnacentral:rRNA from 1 species